UGAUGGUAGUAACCUAACGUUUCUUUAAUCCUCUCCUCUUGGUCUGCUGUGUUUUUUUUGUGUGUGUGUGAUCGGAACUUCAUCUGCGGCUUGGGAGCACCCGGAGAGCCAGUGUCCAGUACACUAGAAUCGGGGAGCAACUACGUCUGGUGAUCCCAGCGCCUGUGCAGUGUUCCGUCGCCUGCGGGGGGCGCCUGUGCAAAUAUGAAAACCCCAUCAAGUGGACCGAGGAGGAGCAGGCAAUUAAAGGGUUAUACUUGUCGUGGAUCACUGAAAGCAUUUUAACAAUGUCACGGCCCUCUUCUGAAGCCAUACAGCAGCAUGCCAUUAUCCAGCAGUUCAAGCAGUAAGUUGGAAGUGCAACGGGACGUGGUCGAAGACGGUGGACCCACAUUCAGGAUUUCGCAGUUGCAUGUAAUUCCUUGGCUUCCAGUGUAAAAUAAGCAGUCAUGGCAGCUACUGGCAGUGACCAAUGAUGAUGUAAUACUUGAAUGUCUCCCAGGUGACAGGGUAAAGUUUAAAACUGCCAAGCCACGCUGGUCUCUUCCUCGAUUUUAGUUCAUUUAUUUGUUCAUUUAUUUGAUUUUCCAACCUAUCAAACAAACCUCCAUAGCUACUUCAUUUG